rnacentral:rRNA from 1 species
CGAAAAUUCAUAGGACUUAUGCUUUCUGCCGAAGUUAUAAAUUUAAAUUAAAAUAAUUUAAAUGGUAGUGGAACGUUUUUUAAGCCAGUGAAGUUAAAUUGUUAAAUUUAAUCGAGGUAUAAAAAGUGAGAAUGCUAAUAUAAGUAACGUUAAACAAUGUAAAAAGCAUUGUCGCCUAAAAUUUAAAGUUUUCUAUGCAAUGUUUAUCAUCGUAGAAUCAAUCGGUCUCUAAGAAUUUAAUAUCGAUAGAUAUGUUUGAUGAGAAU